ACGGAUGUAUCCAUACAUGCCACAGGGAUUCAACGAGAAGCUUUCAGCGCUGCCAACCUCGCGGGUCAGGUUUUGCCGUAGUAUAUUUCUUCUACAAUA
rnacentral:snoRNA from 1 species